AUUGAACGCUGGCGGCAGGCCUAACACAUGCAAGUCGAGCGAGCGGCGGACGGGUGAGUAAUGUAUGGGGACUGCCCGAUAGAGGGGGAUAACUACUGGAAACGGUAGCUAAUACCGCAUACUAUCGGAUAACCCAUAUGGGAUUAGCUAGUAGGUGGGGUAAUGGCUCACCUAGGCGACGAUCCCUAGCUGGUCUGAGAGGAUGACCAGCCACACUGGUACUGAGACACGGUCCAGCCUCCUUCGGAGGCAGUAGGGGGGAAUAUUGCACAAUGGGCGCAAGCCUGAUGCAGCCAUGCCGCGUGUAUGAAGAAGGCUCUAGGGUUGUAAAGUACUUUCAGUGGGGAGGCGUUACCGACAGAAGAAGCACCGGCUAACUCCGUGCCAGCAGCCGCGGUAAUAC
rnacentral:rRNA from 1 species